GCUCGAGUGGCGAACGGGUGAGUAACACGUGAGUAACCUGCCCUUGACUUUGGGAUAACUUCAGGAAACUGGGGCUAAUACCGGAUAGGAGCUCCUGCUGCAUGGUGGGGGUUGGAAAGUUUCGGCGGUUGGGGAUGGACUCGCGGCUUAUCAGCUUGUUGGUGGGGUAGUGGCUUACCAAGGCUUUGACGGGUAGCCGGCCUGAGAGGGUGACGGCCACAUUGGGACUGAGAUACGGCCCAG
rnacentral:rRNA from 1 species